UAGGGAAUCUUCCGCAAUGGGCGAAAGCCUGACGGAGCAACGCCGCGUGAGUGAUGAAGGUCUUCGGAUCGUAAAACUCUGUUAUUAGGGAAGAACAAAUGUGUAAGUAACUAUGCACGUCUUGACGGUACCUAAUCAGAAAGCCACGGCUAACUACGUGCCAGCAGCCGCGGUAAUACGUAGGUGGCAAGCGUUAUCCGGAAUUAUUGGGCGUAAAGCGCGCGUAGGCGGUUUUUUAAGUCUGAUGUGAAAGCCCACGGCUCAACCUUGGAGGGUCAUUGGAAACUGGAAAACUUGAGUGCAGAAGAGGAAAGUGGAAUUCCAUGUGUAGCGGUGAAAUGCGCAGAGAUAUGGAGGAACACCAGUGGCGAAGGCGACUUUCUGGUCUGUAACUGACGCUGAUGUGCGAAAGCGUGGGGAUCAAACAGG
rnacentral:rRNA from 1 species